rnacentral:rRNA from 1 species
UACGUAGGGGGCAAGCGUUGUCCGGAUUUACUGGGCGUAAAGAGCGUGUAGGCGGCCAAGCAGGUCCGUUGUGAAAACUGGAGGCUUAACCUCCAGACGUCGACGGAAACCGCGUGGCUAGAGUCCGGAAGAGGAGAGUGGAAUUCCUGGUGUAGCGGUGAAAUGCGCAGAUAUCAGGAAGAACACCAAUAGCGAAGGCAGCUCUCUGGGACGGUACUGACGCUGAGACGCGAAGGCGUGGGGAGCGAACAGG